AUUGAACGCUGGCGGCAGGCCUAACACAUGCAAGUCGAACGAGUGGCGGACGGGUGAGUAAUGUCUGGGAAACUGCCCGAUGGAGGGGGAUAACUACUGGAAACGGUAGCUAAUACCGCAUACCAUCGGAUGUGCCCACAUGGGAUUAGCUAGUAGGUGGGGUAACGGCUCACCUAGGCGACGACCCCUAGCUGGUCUGAGAGGAUGACCAGCCACACUGGAACGGGGACACGGACCAGACGCCUGCGGGAGGCAGCAGUGGGGAGUAGUGCGCAAUGGGCGCAAGCCUGGUGCAGCCAUGCCGCGUGUAUGAAGAAGGCCUUCGGGUUGUAAAGUACUGUCAGCGAGGAGGCGUUACUCGCAGAAGAAGCACCGGCUAACUCCGUGCCAGCAGCCGCGGUAAUUC
rnacentral:rRNA from 1 species